rnacentral:rRNA from 1 species
UUUUUAUGAGAGUUUGAUCCUGGCUCAGGACGAACGCUGGCGGCGUGCCUAAUACAUGCAAGUCGAACGCUUCUUUUUCCACCGGAGCUUGCUCCACCGGAAAAAGAGGAGUGGCGAACGGGUGGGUAA